rnacentral:rRNA from 1 species
UACGAAGGGUGCGAGCGUUAAUCGGAAUUACUGGGCGUAAAGCGCGUGUAGGCGGCAACGCAAGUCGGGCGUGAAAUCCCACGGCUCAACCGUGGAAGUGCACUCGAAACUGCGUAGCUAGAGUCCUGGAGAGGAAGGUGGAAUGCUUGGUGUAGAGGUGAAAUUCGUAGAUAUCAAGCGGAACACCGGUGGCGAAGGCGGCCUUCUGGACAGUGACUGACGCUGAGACGCGAAAGCGUGGGGAGCAAACAGG